rnacentral:rRNA from 1 species
UACGUAGGGCGCAAGCGUUGUCCGGAAUUAUUGGGCGUAAAGAGCUCGUAGGCGGCUUGUCACGUCGGGGGUGAAAGCCCGGGGCUUAACCCCGGGUCUGCAUUCGAUACGGGCUAGCUAGAGUGUGGUAGGGGAGAUCGGAAUUCCUGGUGUAGCGGUGAAAUGCGCAGAUAUCAGGAGGAACACCGGUGGCGAAGGCGGAUCUCUGGGCCAUUACCGACGCUGAGGAGCGAAAGCGUGGGGAGCGAACAGG